AACGAACGCUGGCGGCAUGCCUAACACAUGCAAGUCGAACGAAGCCUUCGGGCUUAGUGGCGCACGGGUGCGUAACGCGUGGGAAUCUGCCCUUGGGUUCGGAAUAACAGUUAGAAAUGACUGCUACUACCGGAUGAUGUCUUCGGACCAAAGAUUUAUCGCCCAAGGAUGAGCCCGCGUAGGAUUAGGUAGUUGGUGGGGUAAUGGCCCACCAAGCCGACGAUCCUUAGCUGGUCUGAGAGGAUGAUCAGCCACACUGGGACUGAGACACGGCCCAGACUCCUACGGGAGGCAGCAGUGGGGAAUAUUGGACAAUGGGCGAAAGCCUGAUCCAGCAAUGCCGCGUGAGUGAUGAAGGCCUUAGGGUUGUAAAGCUCUUUUACCAGGGAUGAUAAUGACAGUACCUGGAGAAUAAGCUCCGGCUAACUCCGUGCCAGCAGCCGCCGUAAUAC
rnacentral:rRNA from 1 species